UACGGAGGGAGCUAGCGUUGUUCGGAAUUACUGGGCGUAAAGCGCGCGUAGGCGGCUUUGUAAGUUAGAGGUGAAAGCCCGGGGCUCAACCCCGGAACUGCCUUUAAGACUGCAUCGCUUGAAUCCAGGAGAGGUGAGUGGAAUUCCGAGUGUAGAGGUGAAAUUCGUAGAUAUUCGGAAGAACACCAGUGGCGAAGGCGGCUCACUGGUGCCAUUACUGACGCUGAGGUGCGAAAGCGUGGGGAGCAAACAGG
rnacentral:rRNA from 1 species